GGUUAAGCGACUAAGCGUACACGGUGGAUGCCCUGGCAGUCAGAGGCGAUGAAGGACGUGCUAAUCUGCGAAAAGCGUCGGUAAGGUGAUAUGAACCGUUAUAGCCGGCGAUGUCCGAAUGGGGAAACCCAGUGCAAUUCGUUGCACUAUCGUUAACUGAAUACAUAGGUUAACGAGGCGAACCGGGGGAACUGAAACAUCUAAGUACCCCGAGGAAAAGAAAUCAACCGAGAUUCCCCCAGUAGCGGCGAGCGAACGGGGAGCAGCCCAGAGUCUGAAUCAGCUUGUGUGUUAGUGGAACGGUCUGGAAAGUCCGACGGUACAGGGUGAUAGUCCCGUACACCAAAAUGCACAGGUUGUGAACUCGAAGAGUAGGGCGGGACACGUGGUAUCCUGUCUGAAUAUGGGGGGACCAUCCUCCAAGGCUAAAUACUCCUGACUGACCGAUAGUGAACCAGUACCGUGAGGGAAAGGCGAAAAGAACCCCGGCGAGGGGAGUGAAAAAGAACCUGAAACCGUGUACGUACAAGCAGUGGGAGCACCUUCGGGUGUGACUGCGUACCUUUUGUAUAAUGGGUCAGCGACUUAUAUUCUGUAGCAAGGUUAACCGUAUAGGGGAGCCGCAGGGAAACCGAGUCUUAACUGGGCGUUAAGUUGCAGGGUAUAGACCCGAAACCCGGUGAUCUAGCCAUGGGCAGGUUGAAGGUUGGGUAACACUAACUGGAGGACCGAACCGACUAAUGUUGAAAAAUUAGCGGAUGACUUGUGGCUGGGGGUGAAAGGCCAAUCAAACCGGGAGAUAGCUGGUUCUCCCCGAAAGCUAUUUAGGUAGCGCCUCGUGAAUUCAUCUUCGGGGGUAGAGCACUGUUUCGGCUAGGGGGUCAUCCCGACUUACCAACCCGAUGCAAACUACGAAUACCGAAGAAUGUUAUCACGGGAGACACACGGCGGGUGCUAACGUCCGUCGUGAAGAGGGAAACAACCCAGACCGCCAGCUAAGGUCCCAAAGUCAUGGUUAAGUGGGAAACGAUGUGGGAAGGCACAGACAGCCAGGAUGUUGGCUUAGAAGCAGCCAUCAUUUAAAGAAAGCGUAAUAGCUCACUGGUCGAGUCGGCCUGCGCGGAAGAUGUAACGGGGCUAAACCAUGCACCGAAGCUGCGGCAGCGACACGAUGUGUUGUUGGGUAGGGGAGCGUUCUGUAAGCCUGCGAAGGUGUGCUGUGAGGCAUGCUGGAGGUAUCAGAAGUGCGAAUGCUGACAUAAGUAACGAUAAAGCGGGUGAAAAGCCCGCUCGCCGGAAGACCAAGGGUUCCUGUCCAACGUUAAUCGGGGCAGGGUGAGUCGACCCCUAAGGCGAGGCCGAAAGGCGUAGUCGAUGGGAAACAGGUUAAUAUUCCUGUACUUGGUGUUACUGCGAAGGGGGACGGAGAAGGCUAUGUUAGCCGGGCGACGGUUGUCCCGGUUUAAGCAUGUAGGCUGGUUGUCCAGGCAAAUCCGGAUAAUCAAGGCUGAGGUGUGAUGACGAGGCACUACGGUGCUGAAGUAACAAAUGCCCUGCUUCCAGGAAAAGCCUCUAAGCAUCAGGUAACAUCAAAUCGUACCCCAAACCGACACAGGUGGUCAGGUAGAGAAUACCAAGGCGCUUGAGAGAACUCGGGUGAAGGAACUAGGCAAAAUGGUGCCGUAACUUCGGGAGAAGGCACGCUGGUGUGUAGGUGAAGUCCCUGCGGAUGGAGCUGAGACCAGUCGAAGAUACCAGCUGGCUGCAACUGUUUAUUAAAAACACAGCACUGUGCAAACACGAAAGUGGACGUAUACGGUGUGACGCCUGCCCGGUGCCGGAAGGUUAAUUGAUGGGGUUAUCCGUAAGGAGAAGCUCUUGAUCGAAGCCCCGGUAAACGGCGGCCGUAACUAUAACGGUCCUAAGGUAGCGAAAUUCCUUGUCGGGUAAGUUCCGACCUGCACGAAUGGCGUAAUGAUGGCCAGGCUGUCUCCACCCGAGACUCAGUGAAAUUGAACUCGCUGUGAAGAUGCAGUGUACCCGCGGCAAGACGGAAAGACCCCGUGAACCUUUACUAUAGCUUGACACUGAACAUUGAGCCUUGAUGUGUAGGAUAGGUGGGAGGCUUUGAAGCGUGGACGCCAGUCUGCGUGGAGCCAACCUUGAAAUACCACCCUUUAAUGUUUGAUGUUCUAACGUUGGCCCCUGACCGGGGUUGCGGACAGUGUCUGGUGGGUAGUUUGACUGGGGCGGUCUCCUCCCAAAGCGUAACGGAGGAGCACGAAGGUUAGCUAAUCCUGGUCGGACAUCAGGAGGUUAGUGCAAUGGCAUAAGCUAGCUUGACUGCGAGCGUGACGGCGCGAGCAGGUGCGAAAGCAGGUCAUAGUGAUCCGGUGGUUCUGAAUGGAAGGGCCAUCGCUCAACGGAUAAAAGGUACUCCGGGGAUAACAGGCUGAUACCGCCCAAGAGUUCAUAUCGACGGCGGUGUUUGGCACCUCGAUGUCGGCUCAUCACAUCCUGGGGCUGAAGUAGGUCCCAAGGGUAUGGCUGUUCGCCAUUUAAAGUGGUACGCGAGCUGGGUUUAGAACGUCGUGAGACAGUUCGGUCCCUAUCUGCCGUGGGCGCUGGAGAAUUGAGGGGGGCUGCUCCUAGUACGAGAGGACCGGAGUGGACGCAUCACUGGUGUUCGGGUUGUCAUGCCAAUGGCACUGCCCGGUAGCUAAAUGCGGAAGAGAUAAGUGCUGAAAGCAUCUAAGCACGAAACUUGCCCCGAGAUGAGUUCUCCCUGAGACUUUAAGUCUCCUGAAGGAACGUUAAAGACGAUGACGUUGAUAGGCCGGGUGUGUAAGCGCAGCGAUGCGUUGAGCUAACCGGUACUAAUGAACCGUGAGGCUUAACCUU
rnacentral:rRNA from 1 species